UGGAAGGUAAAAAUCGUAACAAGGUCUCCGUUGGUGAACCAGCGGAGGGAUCAUUACUGAGUUUACGCUCUACAACCCUUUGUGAACAUACCUACAACUGUUGCUUCGGCGGGUAGGGUCUCCGCGACCCUCCCGGCCUCCCGCCUCCGGGCGGGUCGGCGCCCGCCGGAGGAUAACCAAACUCUGAUUUAACGACGUUUCUUCUGAGUGGUACAAGCAAAUAAUCAAAACUUUUAACAACGGAUCUCUUGGUUCUGGCAUCGAUGAAGAACGCAGCGAAAUGCGAUAAGUAAUGUGAAUUGCAGAAUUCAGUGAAUCAUCGAAUCUUUGAACGCACAUUGCGCCCGCCAGCAUUCUGGCGGGCAUGCCUGUUCGAGCGUCAUUUCAACCCUCAAGCUCUGCUUGGUGUUGGGGCCCUACAGCCGAUGUAGGCCCUCAAAGGUAGUGGCGGACCCUCCCGGAGCCUCCUUUGCGUAGUAACUUUACGUCUCGCACUGGGAUCCGGAGGGACUCUUGCCGUAAAACCCCCCAAUUUCCAAAGGUUGACCUCGGAUCAGGUAGGAAUACCCGCUGAACUUAAGCAUAUCAAUAGGCCGGAGGAA
rnacentral:rRNA from 1 species